UACGAAGGGGGGCUAGCGUUGCUCGGAAUGACUGGGCGUAAAGGGCGCGUAGGCGGCUCAUACAGUCAGGCGUGAAAUUCCUGGGCUCAACCUGGGGACUGCGCUUGAGACGUGUGGGCUUGAGUGAGGAAGAGGGUCGUGGAAUUCCCAGUGUAGAGGUGAAAUUCGUAGAGAUCGGGAGGAACACCAGUGGCGAAGGCGGCCCUCUGGGCCGGGCCUGACGCUGAGACGCGAGGGCGUGGGAGCGAACGGG
rnacentral:rRNA from 1 species